rnacentral:misc_RNA from 1 species
ACUGAAAUAUGGAGAACCAUCACCCUCUGCGUUCCUCAUGCCUACUAGAGAAAGAUCAGAGCCAGCCACCUGCCAUUGGCUUGGAAUCAAUCCAUCAACAUGCCCAUUUGCAUAUGGUAAUGGACUUGUCCGGGCAAUAAAUUCCCUCGGCAUGUCAAAAUGGGUGCCAAAAGAGCCAUAACUCCGCUGAAACCCACUAUCACGAUAACUCCUAGCACGCUCAAAUCUGCAAGAACUGCUGCUCGGGGAAACUGAUUCACCUGAUAUUCCCAUAUCACCCGGAAAAGAACAUUGCCGAUUUAAGAAGUGUGGCCCAUUGUUAAGAGACUGGAAGAAGCUGC